rnacentral:rRNA from 1 species
GCAGAGAUGCUUUGGUGCCUUCGGGAACUGUGAGACAGGUGCUGCAUGGCUGUCGUCAGCUCGUGUUGUGAAAUGUUGGGUUAAGUCCCGCAACGAGCGCAACCCUUAUCCUUUGUUGCCAGCGGUCCGGCCGGGAACUCAAAGGAGACUGCCAGUGAUAAACUGGAGGAAGGUGGGGAUGACGUCAAGUCAUCAUGGCCCUUACGACCAGGGCUACACACGUGCUACAAUGGCAUAUACAAAGAGAAGCGACCUCGCGAGAGCAAGCGGACCUCAUAAAGUAUGUCGUAGUCCGGAUUGGAGUCUGCAACUCGACUCCAUGAAGUCGGAAUCGCUAGUAAUCGUAGAUCAGAAUGCUACGGUGAAUACGUUCCCGGGCCUUGUACACACCGCCCGUCACACCAUGGGAGUGGGUUGCAAAAGAAGUAGGUAGCUUAACCUUCGGGA